GCGUGGCUCAGUUGGUAGAGCAGGUGCACCAUGUGCCGAGGCUGUAGUCUGUAACGCAGUGGUCCUGGGUUCGAUUCCCAAUCUGCUGCA